rnacentral:rRNA from 1 species
GACAGAGGGGGCAAGCGUUGCUCGGAAUUACUGGGCGUAAAGGGCGCGUAGGCGGGAUGGCAAGUCGGUCGUGAAAUCCUUCGGCUCAACCGAAGAACGUCGAUCGAUACUGCUGUUCUUGAGGGUUGCAGAGGAGACUGGAAUUCCCGGUGUAGCGGUGAAAUGCGUAGAUAUCGGGAGGAAUACCAGUGGCGAAGGCGGCCUUCUGGACGGAUACUGACGCUGAGGCGCGAAAGCCAGGGGAGCAAACGGG